GGGUUGUGAGGUUAAGCGACUAAGCGUACACGGUGGAUGCCCUGGCAGUCAGAGGCGAUGAAGGACGUGCUAAUCUGCGAUAAGCGUCGGUAAGGUGAUAUGAACCGUUAUAACCGGCGAUUUCCGAAUGGGGAAACCCAGUGUGUUUCGACACACUAUCAUUAACUGAAUCCAUAGGUUAAUGAGGCGAACCGGGGGAACUGAAACAUCUAAGUACCCCGAGGAAAAGAAAUCAACCGAGAUUCCCCCAGUAGCGGCGAGCGAACGGGGAGCAGCCCAGAGCCUGAAUCAGUGUGUGUGUUAGUGGAAGCGUCUGGAAAGGCGCGCGAUACAGGGUGACAGCCCCGUACACAAAAAUGCACAUACUGUGAGCUCGAUGAGUAGGGCGGGACACGUGGUAUCCUGUCUGAAUAUGGGGGACCAUCCUCCAAGGCUAAAUACUCCUGACUGACCGAUAGUGAACCAGUACCGUGAGGGAAAGGCGAAAAGAACCCCGGCGAGGGGAGUGAAAAAGAACCUGAAACCGUGUACGUACAAGCAGUGGGAGCACGCUUCGGCGUGUGACUGCGUACCUUUUGUAUAAUGGGUCAGCGACUUAUAUUCUGUAGCAAGGUUAACCGAAUAGGGGAGCCGAAGGGAAACCGAGUCUUAACUGGGCGUUAAGUUGCAGGGUAUAGACCCGAAACCCGGUGAUCUAGCCAUGGGCAGGUUGAAGGUUGGGUAACACUAACUGGAGGACCGAACCGACUAAUGUUGAAAAAUUAGCGGAUGACUUGUGGCUGGGGGUGAAAGGCCAAUCAAACCGGGAGAUAGCUGGUUCUCCCCGAAAGCUAUUUAGGUAGCGCCUCGUGAAUUCAUCUCCGGGGGUAGAGCACUGUUUCGGCAAGGGGGUCAUCCCGACUUACCAACCCGAUGCAAACUGCGAAUACCGGAGAAUGUUAUCACGGGAGACACACGGCGGGUGCUAACGUCCGUCGUGAAGAGGGAAACAACCCAGACCGCCAGCUAAGGUCCCAAAGUCAUGGUUAAGUGGGAAACGAUGUGGGAAGGCCCAGACAGCCAGGAUGUUGGCUUAGAAGCAGCCAUCAUUUAAAGAAAGCGUAAUAGCUCACUGGUCGAGUCGGCCUGCGCGGAAGAUGUAACGGGGCUAAACCAUGCACCGAAGCUGCGGCAGCGACACUAUGUGUUGUUGGGUAGGGGAGCGUUCUGUAAGCCUGUGAAGGUGUGCUGUGAGGCAUGCUGGAGGUAUCAGAAGUGCGAAUGCUGACAUAAGUAACGAUAAAGCGGGUGAAAAGCCCGCUCGCCGGAAGACCAAGGGUUCCUGUCCAACGUUAAUCGGGGCAGGGUGAGUCGACCCCUAAGGCGAGGCCGAAAGGCGUAGUCGAUGGGAAACAGGUUAAUAUUCCUGUACUUGGUGUUACUGCGAAGGGGGGACGGAGAAGGCUAUGUUGGCCGGGCGACGGUUGUCCCGGUUUAAGCGUGUAGGCUGGUUUUCCAGGCAAAUCCGGAAAAUCAAGGCUGAGGCGUGAUGACGAGGCACUACGGUGCUGAAGCAACAAAUGCCCUGCUUCCAGGAAAAGCCUCUAAGCAUCAGGUAACAUUAAAUCGUACCCCAAACCGACACAGGUGGUCAGGUAGAGAAUACCAAGGCGCUUGAGAGAACUCGGGUGAAGGAACUAGGCAAAAUGGUGCCGUAACUUCGGGAGAAGGCACGCUGAUAUGUAGGUGAAGUCCCUCGCGGAUGGAGCUGAAAUCAGUCGAAGAUACCAGCUGGCUGCAACUGUUUAUUAAAAACACAGCACUGUGCAAACACGAAAGUGGACGUAUACGGUGUGACGCCUGCCCGGUGCCGGAAGGUUAAUUGAUGGGGUUAGCGGUAACGCGAAGCUCUUGAUCGAAGCCCCGGUAAACGGCGGCCGUAACUAUAACGGUCCUAAGGUAGCGAAAUUCCUUGUCGGGUAAGUUCCGACCUGCACGAAUGGCGUAAUGAUGGCCAGGCUGUCUCCACCCGAGACUCAGUGAAAUUGAACUCGCUGUGAAGAUGCAGUGUACCCGCGGCAAGACGGAAAGACCCCGUGAACCUUUACUAUAGCUUGACACUGAACAUUGAGCCUUGAUGUGUAGGAUAGGUGGGAGGCUUUGAAGUGUGGACGCCAGUCUGCAUGGAGCCGACCUUGAAAUACCACCCUUUAAUGUUUGAUGUUCUAACGUUGACCCGUAAUCCGGGUUGCGGACAGUGUCUGGUGGGUAGUUUGACUGGGGCGGUCUCCUCCUAAAGAGUAACGGAGGAGCACGAAGGUUGGCUAAUCCUGGUCGGACAUCAGGAGGUUAGUGCAAUGGCAUAAGCCAGCUUGACUGCGAGCGUGACGGCGCGAGCAGGUGCGAAAGCAGGUCAUAGUGAUCCGGUGGUUCUGAAUGGAAGGGCCAUCGCUCAACGGAUAAAAGGUACUCCGGGGAUAACAGGCUGAUACCGCCCAAGAGUUCAUAUCGACGGCGGUGUUUGGCACCUCGAUGUCGGCUCAUCACAUCCUGGGGCUGAAGUAGGUCCCAAGGGUAUGGCUGUUCGCCAUUUAAAGUGGUACGCGAGCUGGGUUUAGAACGUCGUGAGACAGUUCGGUCCCUAUCUGCCGUGGGCGCUGGAGAACUGAGGGGGGCUGCUCCUAGUACGAGAGGACCGGAGUGGACGCAUCACUGGUGUUCGGGUUGUCAUGCCAAUGGCACUGCCCGGUAGCUAAAUGCGGAAGAGAUAAGUGCUGAAAGCAUCUAAGCACGAAACUUGCCCCGAGAUGAGUUCUCCCUGACUCCUUGAGAGUCCUGAAGGAACGUUGAAGACGACGACGUUGAUAGGCCGGGUGUGUAAGCGCAGCGAUGCGUUGAGCUAACCGGUACUAAUGAACCGUGAGGCUUAACCUUACAACGCCGAAGGUGUUU
rnacentral:rRNA from 1 species